rnacentral:rRNA from 1 species
AACGAUCGCCGUGUGCAGCAGCCGCGGUAAUUCCAGCUCCAAUAGCGUAUAUUUAAGUUGUUGCAGUUAAAAAGCUCGUAGUUGGAUUUUGGGUGCGGCAGGCCGGUCCGCCGUUUCGGUGUGCACUGGCAGGCGGCAUCUUUCUGUCGAGGACGCGGUCUUUGCCUUCAUUGGUAGGGACGUGGAGUCGGCGCAGUUACUUUGAAAAAAUUAGAGUGUUCAAAGCGGGCCUACGCUUGAAUAUAUUAGCAUGGAAUAACACUAUAGGACUCCCGUCCUAUUCUGUUGGUCUUCGGGAAGGGAGUAAUGAUUAAGAGGAACAGUUGGGGGCAUUCGUAUUUCAUUGUCAGAGGUGAAAUUCUUGGAUUUAUGAAAGACGAACUUCUGCGAAAGCAUUUGCCAAGGAUGUUUUCAUUAAUCAAGAACGAAAGUUGGGGGCUCGAAGAUGAUUAGAUACCAUCCUAGUCUCAACCAUAAACGAUGCCGACUAGGGAUUGGCGGAUGUUGAUUUGAUGACUUCGCCAGCACCUUAUGAGAAAUCAAAGUCUUUGGGUUCCGGGGGGAGUAUGGUCGCAAGGCUGAAACUUAAAGGAAUUGACGGAAGGGCACCACCAGGAGUGGAGCCUGCGGCUUAAUUUGACUCAACACGGGGAAACUUACCAGGUCCAGACAUAGUAAGGAUUGACAGAUUGAGAGCUCUUUCUUGAUUCUAUGGGUGGUGGUGCAUGGCCGUUCUUAGUUGGUGGAGUGAUUUGUCUGGCUAAUCCCGUUAACGAACGAGACCUCAGCCUGCUAACUAGUCACGGUCUUUCUGAAAGGCUGGCAGUACUUCUUAGAGGGACUAUUGGCGAUUAGCCAAUGGAAGUUUGAGGCAAUAACAGGUCUGUGAUGGCCACGGCGAAUUCGCGCGCUUAAUCAUCGGCCUAUAGUG